UUUAAUUUCAAACCCUGAAAUUCUGCCAAUAGGUAUCGGCAUGAUCAGGUAUCGUGACACAUGUGCUGAAGCCAUUCGUUUCUUCAAAAUGAAAAGCCCUAUUACCGAAAUAUCUGAUGCCUGCAGAAAGUUACUUGAAGUUAGUUGUGAGGAAUUGUUGCCUAGUAUAGUGAAAGGGGAUCAAUCCAAAUCUGUACUCUUUGAUGGUUGUAGACUUGCAUUAGCUUUGAGAAAGAUGAAAAACAGGGAGAUAAUGUGGAAAGUGAUGAGUCAAGUAUGGAUCGAGAUUCUGGCUUAUGCAGCUGCUCACUGCAGAGUGUUCCACCAUUCACAGCAGCUUGGGAGAGGGGGAGAAUUUCUGACUCAUGUUUGGCUUUUGAUGGCACACUUAGGAAUGACAGAGCAUUUCCAGGUAACUCAUGGCCAUGCAAGAGCUAGGUUCAAUGUUUCAUAGGCAUAGCUUGGGAUUAGCAUUUCAUUUGCUUUAAUACUUAUGUAGAUUAACCAUUCUAUUUGUUUGUUUUCUAUUUUCGUAAUUGAAAAAGUUGUGCCUUUCUGCCUAAGUUGGCACACAUUCACUGUCUGUACAUUAAUUAUCCAAUUUUCAUAUUUUUUUGUUCAAAAUUUUAUUGUAUAAUAAUAAUGUUCUUUCAGAAAUUUUUACUCUUGGGUUUCUAAAUAUGUCUUGCGUAAGUGAAAAAGUCAUGAAUGUGUAAUGUUAUAGUGGGUGAUACUGGUUCAAUCUUUUCAAAGUUAUAUCUAGGAAUAUAGUUCAUGUACAACACCUUUCCAAUUUCAUUUUUGCAAAGAGACUGUUUUAUGACUCAAGGAGAGAGCAAUUUCACACAUAAUUAGCUGUAACAAUGUAAGUAAGUGAGGUGAAAAUCUAACACCCAAUAUUAGAGCCCACACUAGGUGGACCUUCACCGGGUGUGUGUAGUGUGUGCUCUACUGCUCUAGAGACCAUGUUUCAGAUACUGACCAACCUCAAUACUGCUCUACUAUGUUAGUUACUACUUAGGGAAAAUGAAUUAAAAGCCCAAUGAAGUUUCCAAACCAUUCAAACAACCUCAAUCAUGUUUUGUAUUAAAAAAAACCCAACGAACUUAACUUUUUGUCUAAAAAAUCCAACAAAGUUCCAAACAGUUCAAAAAAUCCCAAUUUUGUUUUGUUUAAAUUCGUUGGAUUUUUUUUGAACAGUCAAAACAUGAUUGGAGUUCUUUAAACGUUUUGGAAACUUCGUUGGUCUAACAAGUCAUUUUCCCCAUACAGUAAUAAGCUAUGCCAUAUGUUUCUCUUAUUUGACUUUCAGGAAAGUGUAACUUAGUUAAGCUUUUUAGACAAAAGGUUAAGUUUGUUGGGUUUUUUUGAACAGACAAAACAUGAUUGAGUUUCUUUUGAACGGUUUAGAAACUUCAUUGGGCUCGUAAGUCAUUUUCCCUACUACUUAUGAUCAACAUGAUUGUCUUAUCGUUCCAUUUUUUACGACUUGUAAGUUGUAACACACUUGAUAUAUUGUUGAAAACAUGCAUCAAAUUUUGUGUGAUCAACCAUUGAAAUAUUUGGUGGGACAGGUGUAAGGUAAAAAGGGUUGUUGAAUUAGAAGUUGGAUGCAGAGUAUAUGUUUAUGGAUUUUCAAGCUUCUUAAUUAAAAAUUUUAAAAGCUUGUAAAAGUGCACUUAACUUACUGUUUGAAGUCUAAAUUGCAUAACAUGUUCGAUUAGCUCCAGACCUCCAGUAUAUAUUGUAUCGGUUCAUUGAGUUGCCAUCUGGACAGAAUAAAACCUGAGUCAUGUUUCAAGAGUCACAGAAAUUAACCAGUACUUGUAAAAUUAAGAAUAAUGUCUUUUGGGCUUUUCUACUCAAUUCUUUAAAAGCCACAGGCUCUUGAUGCACUAGGGUCACAAUUUUACUACAAGUAAACAAUGAAGAGAACAAAAGAAAGGGAACUUGUGGUGGAUGCAAGUAAAAAACAACUCUAAACCUAUUCUGAAAAUAAGUAACUGAAACGAAACACAGAGUGACUUGAAAUCAAACCUGAAGAUUGAAUUUUGUUUGGAUCAAAAGUAGUUGGCUAUCAUGCUUAUACUCAACAUUAAGACCAGACUAACAGGUGUAUCGUGAUAUAGAGCAGUGGGUGAUUGAUGCCUUAAAAGGCUUAAACUAAACCAGAUGGGUUCGAGAAAACUAUAUCGAUUAUUUUUUUGCUCUCGGUCUGCCUAAACAAGCAGAUAACCGAAAUUCCGCACAUGGGGGGAUACCGGGAUGCUACUAUUCAUGAACGCCGGAAAGCUGAAGUCUACCAUUUAGACAAGAAAACGGUAAAAAAAAACUAGAAAACGGGUGAACAGAAACACUGAAGCAUGAGCUUACAAACCGAAGGUAGCACGGUGUAGAUAAAGAGUUGAUAACUCACAGUUAUGCAGAGGCAAUCUCUGGAUGAACCAUGGGAAGCUGAAACCAUGAAUUAUGAACGUUCGUUUAUACUUCAAGAUGAUAAUAUCUACAACUGUAUUAUAUAGAAAACAACGAAAAAUCAAGCGUUUUUGUCUUUAUGCAUAUAAUACCAAGUCGUGGUUGACCCAAGUCAAGUUUAUCAUUGCUAAUAGUCUAGUCUUUUGAAGCUUUCCGUUAGCUUUCAUCCACCAGGAAAGC
rnacentral:lncRNA from 1 species